GAUGAACGCUGGCGGCGUGCCUAAUACAUGCAAGUCGAACGCUGGAAAUCUAGCUUGCUAGAUUGAAGGAGUGGCGAACGGGUGAGUAAUACAUAAGCAACCUACCCACGAAGACUGGGAUAAUCUCUGGAAACGGGGACUAAUACCGGAUAGGUAAUCGGAAGGCAUCUUCUGAUUAUUAAAGGUUAAAAACACUGGUGGAUGGGCUUAUGGCGCAUUAGUUAGUUGGUGAGGUAACGGCCCACCAAGACGAUGAUGCGUAGCCGGCCUGAGAGGGUGAACGGCCACAUUGGGACUGAGGCACGGCCCAGACUCCUACGGGAGGCAGCAGUAGGGAAUGUUCGGCAAUGGAGGACACCCUGACCGAGCAACGCCGCGUGAGUGAUGACGGCCUUCGGGUUGUAAAGCUCUGUUGUAAGGGAAGAACGGUAGAUAGAGAAUAUCUAAAUGACGGUACCUUACCAGAAAGCCACGGCUAACUACGUG
rnacentral:rRNA from 1 species